GGACUUGAGGGCAGCAGAGGGAGGUGGAAUUCCUAGUGUACCGGUGAAAUGCGUAGAUAUUAGGAGGAACACCAGUGGCGAAGGCGACCUCCUGGGCUGCUCCUGACGCUGAAGGCGAAGGCUAGGGUAGCAAACGGGAUUAGAAACCCCGGUAGUCCUAGCAGUAAACGAUGGAUGCUGGGUGUGGGAGGUAUAGAUUCCUCCCGUGCCGAAGCUAACGCGUUAAGCAUCCCGCCUGAGGAUUACGGCCGCAAGGCUAAAACUCAAACGAAUUGACGGGGACCCGCACAAGCAGCGGAGCGUGUGGUUUAAUUCGAUGCUACACGAAGAACCUUACCUGGGUUUGACAUGCAAGUAGUAGUGAAGCGAAAGCUGAUCGACCCUUCGGGGAGCUUGCACAGGUGCUGCAUGGCUGUCGUCAGCUCGUGCCGUGAGGUGUCGGGUUAAGUCCCGUAACGAGCGCAACCCUUGUCCUUAGUUACAAGUGUCUAAGGAGACUGCCCGGGACAACUGGGAGGAAGGUGGGGAUGACGUCAAGUCCGCAUGGCCUUUAUGUCCAGGGCUACACACACGCUACAAUGGCCGGUACAAUGGGUCGCCAAACCGUAAGGUGGAGCCAAUCCCGUAAAGCCGGUCCAAGUUCGGAUUGUGGGCUGCAACUCGCCCACAUGAAGCUGGAGUUGCUAGUAACCGUGGGUCAGCUAUACUACGGUGAAUACGUUCCCGGGUCUUGUACACACCGCCCGUCACGUCAUGGAAGCUGGAAACACCUAAAACCGGCGAGCUAACCUGAAAAGGAAGCAGCCGUCUAAGGUGGAACCGGUGACUGGGACGAAGUCG
rnacentral:rRNA from 1 species